UGGUAUCAGAAGCAAGGAUGGCAACCUGUGGGGACUGGUCCCCCUAACCUACAUAGUUGGCCUCAACUCCUGCCAACUCUGUCUCUCUCUCAAACUAAACCCUAGAGUACCUUGUAAUUACUUACCCUUCUUUGAAGAAAGUUAUAUGCCUGAUUUCGUCCUUUUCUCAUUUCUCAUUUACACUUCAGCUAAUUGUGAUUAGACUUGUUCUCACUGUUCCACUCUAAAUGCUCUGACAGAGAUCAUGAAUAAUUGCCUGUUUGCAGCUCAGUCAUCUAUUUGGUAAUUAAACACAUUUUUAUUUAGUGUCACCACAAGUCAGGUAUAAUGUUGGGCCAUGAGAGUUCAGUGAUUACCAAAAUAAAAGCAUUCCUUGCCCUCACAGCACUUAUAGUCCAGUAGGGGGUUCAGGCAAGCCCUCAGAAAACAGCAUGCUAAGGUCUAUGUUAUGGGAAAUAGGGGAGCUAUGGCAGACUUCCUUGGGGCUGGGGGGGGUGGGUGGUCCCAGCCCCCUCUCCUUAGCAGUUGACACUAUUUUUUUUUU
rnacentral:lncRNA from 10 species